rnacentral:rRNA from 1 species
UACAGAGGGUGCAAGCGUUGUUCGGAAUUAUUGGGCGUAAAGCGCGUGUAGGCGGCUUUGCAAGUCGGGUGUGAAAGCCCUCGGCUCAACUGAGGAAGUGCACCCGAAACUGGCGAGCUUGAGUACGAAAGAGGAUCGCGGAAUUCCCGGUGUAGAGGUGAAAUUCGUAGAUAUCGGGAGGAACACCGGUGGCGAAGGCAAUCCCCUGGGCCUGUACUGACGCUCAUGCACGAAAGCGUGGGGAGCAAACAGG